rnacentral:lncRNA from 1 species
AAGGCACUUUUAAACCAUUUGUUUAUUCUCGUGUCUCCUAAAGCACCUUUCUCCAUCCAUUUCCAUAUUGGAUCUACUUCCCUUUCUCACAACAACUACACGACACCACUUGGAACUUAUGCAACAACACAUAGGAGAAUAUAAACAUAUUGUAUUGGAAGUCAUUUGUGUUUUUGAUAAUGUGAUCAUACUACAUUGAAUAUAAUAUAGCCUACUGUUUGCGUUUUUUCAUACACCACUAUUCCGUCAUAUAUGUUUGGUUUAAUGGAACCACAUUCUUGCUUAUUAUGUUGCACAUGUUACGCCUGCACCAACCGUGCAAUAAUGUUGGAGGAUUGCUUUCCAGAUCUAGAAAUUCCAUGUUCCAUCAACCAUUGCUGCCCCCAUGUUAUGGUAAGAGGCUGUAUCACCUGGCAUCUGCCAUGUCAAGUGCAUCCGUUUCCAAAGCUCCAUGGCCUGUCGGUGCGGAUUCCUCAGACAAGUAUCGUCUUAUAGUUCAAAUACUUUUCUAAUUCCCCCUAAAUAAAGCUUUCCUAGUUUCCAUCUGUGGGACAACCUGUUUCGACCCAAACUUAUGCAUUUCUUUGUCAUGCAACACUCAAGAUUUUGUUUAUUCUCUUGUCUUUAAAAGUACAUAUCUUCCUUAGGUUCCCUAUUUGAUAUGAUUCAAUAUCUUUCAUGCCAAACACUCAGUACGUGGGAACUUAUUCACCCUCGCAUAGGAAAGUGGAACCUAAACAAAAUUGGUGGCCAAUAGUUUGUUUGGCAAUAUGCACAUACUACAUUGACGAUAGUAUAGUCUAUUUUGGUGUUUAUUCACAAACCAAACAUGGGGAAUUAUCUGUUGCGGUGACUGUCACCCCGUUAUUCGUAACUCCGUUGCAC